UUCUUGCAUCUCUGUGGCAAAAGAUCGAUCGAUCGUAUUAGUCAAUCGUCAUUCAACGAUUCGAGAAUCCAGGCCACGAAUGGGAAUGAAUUAAAGGAAACCGAGGAAAAAAAUACGGCAGUCGUAGAAGCACGAUUUUACAACAAGAAUCUCAUUAGGAGUCUGAAGAUGUCACAUUGAAUGAAAAUUCAAUAAAGUGAAUAUUAACUGUAUUACCGACAGCAAUCGUGUUAAGAUAAUUCCUAAAUAAAUUAGCCGUCUGUUUACGGAAACUUAACGAAUGUCGUCACCAUCUUCUAUCGAUUUCUGAGAAAUAUUUUUUACGAACGAAGAAUAAUUCGUCCCACUUGAAUAAUGAUACAAGUCACGUUGAAAGUUUUUUUUCUUAUUAAGAAACAAGGUGAGAAUAAUUCGAUGAGAUUCCAGGGAGGAAUGUAAUACAAUUUCCUGCUAAUCGUAAUUUCUCGAACUUUGCUUUCCUGUGAUUAAUAAAAAAAAAAAAAAAAAAAAGAAAAAGUGGAGGAAGAAAAGUAGAUGGCCUAGAUCGAAAGCGAUGUGUUAUUUAUUAUUCGUUUGUUCGUUUCCAUGUCGCGCAAGAAAAGUCGAGAUAACUGGCGAGUGAAUAAAUCCGCCAUCUCCCAAUGGAAAAAUAUUCAUUAGCCCGAGAUCACACAUCGCUAAUUUCUACUUUUCUAAACGUCCUAUGUAUUCAGAGAAGAAAUUGAAAAAGAAACAAAAGGAGGGAGGGAAAGAAAGUUAACGAGAAUUACCGGUACAUUGUUCGUUUUUGUUGGGAUCAACUCGUAAUAUUUUUUGUAGAUGAAAGAUGAAAAGAUGGUUAAUUGAUUGAUUGUUUUCGAUACGAUUAUAAAAAUACAGAUUAUAGAAUACAUCGUAAAAUGGUAAAAAUCCAAUUGUAUUCAAUUCAAUUUUUCAACUCGAAUGAUAAUUUAACAACAAAGUUUCGCAGGCCUCUUAUCUGUUUUAUCGACCAUGAAUGGCUUCUAUGCGAGGAAAAGCUUGGCUGAUUAAAAAUUUCAAAAGAUAGAAGUUUGAAGCUCGCCAUUGAAAACAGAUUUAAACACCAUCGUUUUAAUUUCAUUUAAUUGAAUUACUCGCCAAUUUCACGAGCCACGGACUUUACAAGUGUCGUCCAUUCAAAGGUAUGAUAUCCCUUUUUUCCUUCUUUUUAAUCCCGUAGUAAUUGAUCCGUUAAUUCCGCGACAUCUUUAGAUCGCUUUGCAAGAUUUGGCUCAUCACUGUUGAAUUUACAAUCAAUUAACUUAUUUUCUUUUUUUCUUUUUAGAUAUUUUAUUUCGAAUCUUAUUGAAUUCAAUUUCUGAAUAAUUUUUAGAAUAAAAUUUCUUGUGUAAAUAUUGUAAGUUUGGAUUAAUAUAAGGCAACGUGUGAAUAACGAAUCGUUAACCCAGUUUCAGUAAAAAGCACGUGCAUAUAUACUGAUCCCCGUAACGAAUUCGACACUCCAAUUAUUAUAAAGCAAUUUCUCGAGUAAUUUUUUUUUUUUUUCUUUUUUACGAAUGUAAAUGAUUCCAAAAUGGUUGUGAAAGUAAGGAUAAAUUUGCAUCUAGAUGGAUAGAUAAAAGAGUAAUUAAAUCGACAAAACCUCAAGUGCUUUCUUUUUGAAUGAACAAGUACUCACGUAAGGUGGUGUGCAGAAGAUGGAUUGACACCACAUUGGUUCCGAAUGAUAACAGACGCAGAGACUGCAAACCGCAGGUCCUGGUACAUAAAGGAG
rnacentral:lncRNA from 1 species